rnacentral:rRNA from 1 species
CAGCAGCCGCGGGAAUACGAAGGGUGCAAGCGUUAAUCGGAAUUACUGGGCGUAAAGCGUGCGUAGGCGGUUUGUUAAGUCUGUUGUGAAAUCCCCGGGCUCAACCUGGGAAUGGCAAUGGAUACUGGCAAGCUAGAGUGUGUCAGAGGAUGGUGGAAUUCCCGGUGUAGCGGUGAAAUGCGUAGAGAUCGGGAGGAACAUCAGUGGCGAAGGCGGCCAUCUGGGACAACACUGACGCUGAGGCGCGAAAGCGUGGGGAGCAAACAGGAUUAGAGACCCCCGUAGUCCCUGUCUCUUAUAC